GUUUCCGGGCCGGUGAGUCCGACCCGGGACUCGCGGGCUGCUUGAACACCGCGGCAGGGCAGCGGCCUGCGUCUCCGCUUGUCGGCCAAUGCAGUCUGGGAAAACUUGGACUGUGCCUUGUUUUAUAGGAUAAUUCCAGUGAGCUGGAAUGGAGAGACAUGGGGGCUGCAUGGAGCAUUUGGGUCUACAGAUAGAGAAGAAUUUUGUCACAAAAUGGAUCCUCUCCAGAGGAUGUCUCACCCUGACCGGAUUUAGACAGAUGAGAAUAAGACAAACACACAGGCAAGGGCAUGCGAAGACAGAGGCAGACCUUGGAGUUUUGCAGCUGGGAACCCAGGAGUGCUGGGAGACACCGGGAGCUUGGACGGGACAGGAAUUCUCAUCCCCCAGAGCUCUCAGAGGAAGCAUGGCCCUGGUGACCUUCUGACUUCAGACUUCUCUCCUGCAGAACUCUGAGAAAAUAAAUCUGUGUUGUCUUAAGCCUCUAAGUCGGUG